GCGGAAGUGGCGUAACGGUAGCCGCGCCAGAUUGAGUAUCUGGUGAUCUGAAAGGGUCGUGGAGGUUCGAUUCCUCUCUUCCGCA
rnacentral:tRNA from 1 species